GAUGAAGAACGCAGCUAAAUGCGAUAAGUAGUGUGAAUUGCAGAAUUCAGUGAAUCAUCGAAUCUUUGAACGCACAUUGCGCCCCUUGGUAUUCCAUGGGGCAUGCCUGUUCGAGCGUCAUUUGUACCCUCAAGCUUUGCUUGGUGUUGGGUGUUUGUCCCGCGUUGCGCGUGGACUCGCCUUAAAGCGAUUGGCAGCCGGCAUAUUGGCCUUGGAGCGCAGCACAUUUUGCGCUUCUAGUCAUGAAUGUUGGCGUCCAUUAAGCCUAUACAUUUGCUCUUGACCUCGUAUCAGGUAGGGAUACCCGCUGAACUUAAGCAUAUCAAUAAGCGGAGGA
rnacentral:misc_RNA from 1 species